rnacentral:tRNA from 1 species
CAGCAUUCAUAAUGCUGGGGUCCCUGGUUCAAGUCCAGGCAUAGCCACCA